ACUCAAAUGAAUAGACGGGGGCCCGCACAAGCGGUGGAGCAUGUGGAUUAAUUCGAUGCAACGCGAAGAACCUUACCAAGGCUUGACAUGGAGACGACCGCAGCAGAAAUGUUGCUUUCUUCGGACGUCUCACACAGGUGGUGCAUGGUUGUCGUCAGCUCGUGUCGUGAGAUGUUGGGUUAAGUCCCGCAACGAGCGCAACCCUUAUCUUCAGUUACCAGCAUUAAGUUGGGUACUCUGGAGAGACUGCCGUGGAUAACACGGAGGAAGGUGGGGAUGAUGUCAAAUCAUCAUGCCCCUUACGCCUUGGGCUUCACACGUGCUACAAUGGUCUUUACAAAGUGAAGCAAUACUGCGAAGUGGAGCGAACCACAAAAAAAGACCCCAGUUCGGAUUGUAGGCUGCAACUCGCCUGCAUGAAGUUGGAAUCGCUAGUAAUCGCGAAUCAGAAUGUCGCGGUGAAUACGUUCCCGGGCCUUGCACACACCGCCCGU
rnacentral:rRNA from 1 species